AUUGAACGCUGGAGGCAGGCUUAACACAUGCAAGUAGAGCGAGCGGCGGACGGGUGAGUAAUGUCUGGGAAACUGCCUGAUGGAGGGGGAUAACUACUGGAAACGGUAGCUAAUACCGCAUACCAUCAGAUGUGCCCAGAUGGGAUUAGCUAGUAGGUGGGGUAAUGGUUCACCUAGGCGACGAUCCCUAGCUGGUAUGCGAGGAUGACCGGCCACACUGGAACUGAGACACGCUCCAGACGCCGACGUGAUUCAGCAGUGGGGUAUAUUGCACAAGGGGCGCAAGCCGGAUUCAGCCAUGCCGCGUGUGUGAAGAAGGCCUUCGGGUUGUAAAGCCCUUUCAGCGAGGAGGCGUUACUCGCAGAAGAAGCACAGGCUAACUCCGUGCCAGCAGCCUCGGGAAUAC
rnacentral:rRNA from 1 species